rnacentral:rRNA from 1 species
UGGGGAAUAUUGCACAAUGGGCGAAAGCCUGAUGCAGCGACGCCGCGUGAGGGAUGACGGCCUUCGGGUUGUAAACCUCUUUCAGUAGGGACGAAGCGCAAGUGACGGUACCUGCAGAAGAAGCACCGGCUAACUACGUGCCAGCAGCCGCGGUAAUACGUAGGGUGCGAGCGUUGUCCGGAAUUACUGGGCGUAAAGAGCUCGUAGGCGGUUUGUCACGGCGUCUGUGAAAUCCUAGGGCUUAACCCUGGACGUGCAGGCGAUACGGGCUGACUUGAGUACUACAGGGGAGACUGGAAUUUCUGGUGUAGCGGUGGAAUGCACAGAUAUCAGGAAGAACACCGAUGGCGAAGGCAGGUCUCUGGGUAGUAACUGACGCUGAGGAGCGAAAGCAUGGGUAGCGAACAGG